AGUGAACGCUGGCGGCGUGCCUAACACAUGCAAGUCGAACGAUGAAGUCCUUCGGGAUGGAUUAGUGGCGCACGGGUGAGUAAUGCAUAGAUAAUGUGCCCCUUAGUUCGGGAUAGCCACUGGAAACGGUGAUUAAUACCGGAUACUCCUUCUUACUAUAAGGUAAGUCGGGAAAGUUUUUCGCUAAGGGAUCAGUCUAUGUUCCAUCAGGUAGUUGGUGAGGUAAUGGCUCACCAAGCCUAUGACGGAUAUCUGGUUUGAGAGGAUGAUCAGACACACUGGAACUGAGACACGGUCCAGACUCCUACGGGAGGCAG
rnacentral:rRNA from 1 species